UUUCAUGUCAUAAACGAUCCAAAGGGGUACCAAUUAUUUGUAAAUAUAAAUAGACUUUUCUAUAGCUGAUUUUCACCCGUAAAAUCAUUUCACCAGUUUCUUUUCACGAAUACCGAGAGAAACCGAAGUGUGUUCUUCGUGUUCUUCGUAAUCAAACGAAGAUUUGAAGGUGUUAUUGGAAUCCGAUGGAGGCGUAUGAAUAGUCAAAACGAAGCUAUCGAAGCGUAGAAUCAUGUUUAAUCAUCGGUUUGUAUGCAGAUUCAACAGGUGAUGUUAGAUUAUUUUUAUAAAAUUCGAAUUUAUCUUACUUAAAUGAUGAAUUUUCGCAAACGUGAUUGUUCCGUUGUUUUGAUGAUACCAUGUUGUAGUACGUGUUGUUCUCGUCGUUUUGGUAUAUUAUAUGUUGAAUUUGGAGUUUGGAAACAUAUAGAAAAUGUUGUUUGAUUCUUGACAAGAUGUUCUUGAGUGUUCUUGAGUAUUGGCCGGAAAACUUUAAAUUCUUGCCGGAGAAUCACUUCGGCUUAACCUGGGUAGACGUUAAAGCUAUAAAAACGUUCCUGGUGAUGAUUAGAAUAUGUGUAUAUAAUUAUUUGUGGUGUUGGAGCUCUGAAUAACUCGCCGGAAUCUGGGGAGGGGCGGCGGCAACGCCGUCUUUCCGGCGAUUUUCAGGCCAUUUUAUCAGCCCUCUGCAAAAACGAAACCCACAAAUGAGUUCCUGAUAGUAUGUAGGCUAUAUCUGCACAUUUUGGUGAAGUUUGGAGCUUUGUAGCCGUUUCACGGCGAAAAUCCGGCGAAGGCUAGUCGGAGAUGGUGACCGGGGGUCAAAUUACAAUUUGAUCCCCAAACUUAUUAAAAUGAUACGGUGUGAACCCUGAAGUUUAUAAGUUUUCAAUUCAGUCCCCUAAUAGUUUAAAAAGUUUGCACAGUGAACCUUGGAGUUUUAAAUCUUUUCAAAAAACAUUUUAUUUAUUUAUUUUAAUCUCGAAAAUUAUUGAUUUUAAAUUCAAAAAUGUUUUUUUAAAUAUUUGUUUAUUCAAAAAUAAAUCUAAAUUAGUUUAUUAAUUACUUUUAAUUAGUAAUUAAUUAUUUUAAUUGGUCAAUUAAUUUAAAUAUUAAUUGAUUAAUUAUUUUAAUUAAUUAUUAAUUGAUUUUAAUUGAUUAAUUAAUUGGAUUUAAUUAUCUCUUUUUGAUUUAAAAAUUCCGAAAAAUAGUUUCGAGCUUUAAAAUAUUUUCCAAAUUAUUUUCAAGGCUCGAUAAUUGUUUAUGAAGGAUUUCAAGUCCAAUUUCAAGUAUUUGGGACUUGAUUAUUUAUUUGAAAAGUGAUUCUUUUAUCGAUUUUAAUUCCGAAAAAUGUUUAAAAAUUCCAGAAAAUUCCCGAAAAAUCAUUUUUAACAAACCCAAGACUUGAUUUAAUANNNNNNNNCUUGAUUUAAGAUCAAUUGGGAUGUGUGUUGUGUGUUGUCUGCUAUUGGUUGGAUGUGUUAUGUGCCGAUAGGAGAGUGAGAAAACUAUUUUGAGCAUAACUUUUGAUCCGUAAGUCGGAAUCAAGUGAAACGAAAGAGAGACAGAAGUUUAUAACGUCUAUUUUAAUAUGAUGUGACUAUAUGGCUGAGUCUAUAAUGUGAAUAAUUGUUGUUAAAUGUGCACAAUGUGAUUAUAUGUUAUUUGAUUGCUAUUAAUUGAUGAUUACGUGAUAUACAUGUUUAUUCAUGAUAGUAUACAUGUGUGAUAAAAGAUUUGGAUGACAUAGUGUCGUGAGUUGAUUGAUAUUGGAUAAGAAGAUAUGGAUUAUCAUGAUUGGAUUUGGUUGGUUGAUUGUUGAUUGAGAUAGGAUAACAGGUGGAUAGUCUAAUAAAUAGACGAGAUGAUGUCGGAUUUUCGAUAGGAUUCAUAUGAUAAGUGAUUGGUAAUAUGUUGUGGGGAAUACGACUUGACUAUAUGAUAGAGUCCAAGCAUGAUUACGUGUUAAGUGAUAUGUGAUAAGUUUAAAGGGGUAUAUAAGUGGGUAUCGAUAUACGUGAUAUGUAUAUGCGAUAUAUUGUUUAGUGACUAUAGUAUUAUCUUAUUUUUGUAAAGGACUUAGACGAGACGUGUACGCUCGAAGACAUCAGGAAGUCGAAAUGGUAUUGCAAAGCGAAUAAGGGAUGAAUCGAGUAAGCGAAGCGAAGAUGUACGGUAGAUAGAGUAUAGCCAGAGAUGGUCUAGAGACUAUGAGAUGCAUAGAUUGUGAAAGUGGAAAGAUGAGAUUGAGAUGUGAGACUGGAGUCAGAUUUAAGGCAAGUAUCCUAAACCUUUCUCUUGGAUAUAUUGCAAAUAUUCUGAUCCAUUCCUUUGGUAUAUGUUUCAAGUAUUCAUACCUUUCUUUUCAAUGUUCGAAAGUGCGAGUAUUCUGACCCAUUCUUUCUAAUCUUCAAGUUUCUAAAGAAUUUCCGUUUUACAAAUUAAUUCGAAGUUCAGAUUGUCAUUGAAGCAUGUGUUGCUCAGUGAUAGUUAGAGCUUUGAAUGAAUUGGGAUCUUCUUGAUUAUUCAACCCGCCAUUGUCAUGCUGGUUUAGCAGGCUAAAUUCAGUUGCUUAGCCGAUAAUGGAGGAUACUGAAUAGUUGAGGAUUUCCUGAACUGUGAUUUAUGAAAUGAUGGAUCAUGAUUUAUGAAUAGAUUAUUAUCAAAGUUUGAAUUGGAAUUAUUCUGUUGUUGAUGAUAUUUAUGAUGAUGUUCUGUUAAUUUACAUUGGCUUCUUGAAUUGAAUUAGAGAAUUGGAUUAUUGUUUUUAUAUAAACCUGUGGACCAGAUUCGUGGUCAUGUUAGGCCAAUGAGUGCCUUGGAUCCAGUGAUAGAGCAUGGCGGGGCCUGCUCGGGGUUAGUGCGGAACUGAUCAGCUGCCUAACCUUGGUUUUAAUUAAAAUGUGAUAGUCCAAUUCAAUAAUUCUUUUGGAAAGAUUGAAUUCCUCAGUAUUCAAUUGCUGCAAGGUAUUGUGAUUUUCUUAUACAAUACCUAAACUCGUGAACUCAGGUUGAAUCCUUUUAUAUCUUGAACUCAUGAACUUCUGUUAUAUCAUUUCAGAAUUUUCAUUGUUUAUUACUACUUGCUGAGCAUUGUUGCUCACUCUUGCUAUUCUCUUUUAACCAUUUCAGAAAGGCUUAAAGAUGAGAUGAUUGAUUGAGAUUGUGAAUAAGGCUAAUGCUAGGCGAGGAGACAGAGUUGAGGAUCCAGUGGUCGAGGAGUGUUCAGGAAAGUUGAUGAGGUUGGUGCAAGCUAGAGCCGUGCUAUAGAGAUUCAAGUGUAAGUCAUAGCUGGAAUAGUUGACAGUGAUUCUUCUUAUCGAAGAUGAUCUGAUUUGGUAAGAGAUGUUGUGUAAUAAUAGUGGUUGAUUCUAAUUUCAAUACUGUAACCUGGAAGCGAUCCUGUUGUUUUGGGGGUGAAGAUGUUCUCUUUUAAAUCUUUUAUUUAACGUCUUUCAAAUCUUUUAUUAA
rnacentral:lncRNA from 1 species